UACAGAGGUCUCAAGCGUUGUUCGGAUUCAUUGGGCGUAAAGGGUGCGUAGGUGGCGCCGUAAGUCGGGUGUGAAAUUUCGGAGCUUAACUCCGAAACUGCAUUCGAUACUGCGGUGCUUGAGGACUGGAGAGGAGACUGGAAUUCAUGGUGUAGCAGUGAAAUGCGUAGAGAUCAUGGAAGACCAGUGGCGAAGGCGGGUCUCUGGACAGUUCCUGACACUGAGGCACGAAGGCCAGGGGAGCAAACGGG
rnacentral:rRNA from 1 species